GCGGGGGGCAGUAGAGGGGUGCAGCCGAGACUCCCGCUGCCGCCGCCGCCGCCGUCCCCAGCAAGUCCGCUCGCAGCCGAUCGGCGGUGAGGAUGGAGAGGAUGACAAGCCUGGCUGGCGCCCUUCCUGACGAGUCAAAUAUUGUAUGGAAGAGCAGACUGCGGUCUUCAUUAAGCAGGUGUAUGUGAGAGAGAUGACCAAGCCAGAGGUUCAACAUCUGCAGAAAAAGAAGAGAAGGCUACAGAAGUGGCAGACGGCCUUCCUCUGGCAAGAAUUGGACGUAACUCAAUGGACUAAACUGAAAUCAACUCCAAGCUCCUUCUGUGUGUGUAUCUGGUGCCUGGAUUGCACUAAUGUCAAAACUAGGACUGCCAACUGGACUUCCCAUAUGUAGCCAUUCCAUGCAACGUGGAUCCCUCAAAAUAUGACGCUGCCCAGCUAAUGGCAUCUUGUUAUCAGCCUGAACCAACCAAGAUACUUUAAUUCUAUGGACUUGAGUUCCCUGACGUUGUGGCUCUCCUCCUGAAUGGCGAUCAACUCCUGCUAUGUCAAAGCCAGCCAGCCUAGGGCCAAAAGAGAUCAUUUGGUUAUUGAGAGCAUGAAAUGAACUCAUACAUGCAAGAACUUACAUCCUGUGAAGCCCUGUACCACAGCAAAGUAGCAUUAGGUGAAAAGUGCACAUCACAGAAGCCUACCCUCUGGGGUCAGGACAGCUGCAUGUCUAAUCUCAGUAGCCAACUGGUGUCAGCUCUGCUAUCACCAUCUACACCUCCUGCUUCUAUUGUGUGAAAGGUCUGGGGACCUGGGGACUCACACCCACAGCCCAAGUUGCUUUGGAUCACUCCUGUCAAUAUAAUGGUCGUCUAAAAUGACCUCAAUUAGACAACACUGUCACUGUCACUGUCAUCCCAUUGCUCAUCGAUUGGUUCGAGUGGGCACCAGUCACAUCUCUCAUUGUGAGACUUAUUGUUACUGUUUUUGGCAUAUCAAAUAUGCCAUGGGUAGCUUGCCAGGCUCUGCCAUGCGGGUGAGAUACUCUCAGUAGCUUGUCAGGCUCUCCGUGAGGAGCAGAGGAAUUGAACACGGGUUGGCUGCGUGUAAGGCGAACGCCCUACCCCUGUGCUAUGGCUCCAGCCUUAGAAAACACUGAGGCAAAAUAAUUUAUGUGAAUUGAUUUGGGCUAACCAUCAGGGUUAGUAUAUGUUUUCUUGCCCAGAUGAACAUCUGCCACAGUAUUGAUUGGCUAAUAGACACCCAAGGGUUUUGUCCCCUGAAAUGACGAGCUCCCUCUCAUUCUGCCUCAGCUUUGUUGUGAGCGAUUCACCUUUGCGUGCUUUCCUUCCUUGGCCAAAGACACGCUAGGUAUUUGCUGGCACAGUUCAUUCCCAGAAGCAGCUUGCUCAAGUGUGAGAAGCCUACAGGCUACACUCACCAGGAGCUGCUGGUCCCAGGCAUACCCAGACACCAGCCACUAGUAAGUUAAUGCUCUUUCUAAGACCUAGCUCAGGGUGCCCCUAGGUUUCUGAUGCAAACGUGGUAGCUGUUUGACUUACAUGCUGGUGUGAGUUCAUUGAAAUUUUGCCAGUCUUUGGAAGCCGUGUUUUCUCUAACACAAGCUCUCGGCUUUACACUGUAUUUGCUUAGGGCCUGGAAUAGAGAAGAAUUUUGGAUAUUUUUAUAGCUCCGAAGGACUCCCCUCAAAGUCAAGUUGCUUACUAAUAUUACAGAGAUGCUAUAUAUCCUCCUUUAUGUCAUUCUUUAUGCUAAAUUUUGAAAUGAUUUUGAUCUCUAUUUCUAAGGGAGAUAUUCAUUUUCUCAUGUAGGCAAGUGUGCAGAGAACAUGGGAAUACAUUUGUGUCCCCAUCCUGCCAAACAGUAUCAAGAUGCAGCAUAUUAAAAUUUUAAUUGAGAUUGAGUGGAGUCAUUUUAAAAUUAGCAGAACAGCAGCGAGUAAUAAAAUUAUGGUAGUGUUUUGGCAUGUGUCCUGAUAUUCAUAUAUUCACAAGUCUACCUUUCACUUGCUAAAAUGCCGAAUGAUGAUUACCUAUGAUAAUCCUGUUUAUGUUUCUUAGAGCCACAAGUUUAGUUUCAAACGGGCAUAGUUAAAUCUUCCAUCUCUGGGAGAAAUAAUUUCAAUUUUCAAAAAUUCCCAGGUCAUAAAUUUUGCAUAAUAUUUAAAAAAGAAGAUCUUUGUUUUAUCUGUGAUUAAAAAUGCAGUGGAAUGUUCAUGAAUGCUACAUUCCACCUUUCUGUUUAUGGAUGAAUUUCUGGAAUGCUGUUACAUACAUAAAAAGUAAUUUAAAAAUGUGUUUAACAUGUAUGUACUUAGAAAAAUUUAACCUAGUGGCAGUAUUCAAUAA